GACGAACGCUGGCGGCGUGCUUCCCUUUUGCAAGUCGAGCGAUGAAGCACCUUCGGGUGUGAAUUAGCGGCAAACGGGUGAGGAACACGUGAAAAAUCUGCCUUCAACUCUGGGAUAACUCCGGGAAACCGGGGCUAAUACCGGAUAUGAGCCUUGAUCGCAUGAUCGGGGCUGGAAAGUUUUUCGGUUGAAAAUGACUUCGCGGCCUAUCAGCUUGUUGGUGAGGUAAUGGCUCACCAAGGCGACAACGGGUAGCCGGCCUGAGAGGGCGACCGGCCACACUGGGACUGAAACACGGCCCAAACUCCUACGGGAGGCAGCAGUGGGGAAUUUUGGGCAAUGGAGGAAACUCUGACCCAGCGACGCCGCGUGAGGGAUGAAGGCCUUCGGGUUGAAAACCUCUUUCAGUAG
rnacentral:rRNA from 1 species